AUUGAACGCUGGCGGCAUGCCUUACACAUGCAAGUCGAACGGUAACGCGGGGCAACCUGGCGACGAGUGGCGAACGGGUGAGUAAUGCAUCGGAACGUGCCCAGUAGUGGGGGAUAGCCCGGCGAAAGCCGGAUUAAUACAGCAUACGACCUCCGGGUGAAAGCGGGGGACCGUAAGGCCUCGCGCUAUGGGAGCGGCAGAUGUCAGAUUAGGGUGUUGGUGGGGUAAAAGCCUACCAAGCCGACGAUCUGUAGCUGGUCUGAGAGGACGACCAGCCACACUGGGACUGAGACACGGCCCAGACUCCUACGGGAGGCAGCAGUGGGGAAUUUUGGACAAUGGGGGCAACCCUGAUCCAGCCAUGCCGCGUGCGGGAAGAAGGCCUUCGGGUUGUAAACCGCUUUUGUCAGGGAAGAAACGCGCUGAGCUAAUAUCUCGGCGUAAUGACGGUACCUGAAGAAUAAGCACCGGCUAACUACGUGCCAGCAGCCGCAGUAAGAC
rnacentral:rRNA from 1 species